AUGCAAGGGGGCUUAAACAUAAUAAAAAUUUUAACCCAGGUAAAACUUGAUGGUAUUGCACCGUCUUUGGAAGUAUAUACAAACUGGGAUAACUGUAAAGAUAUCCAAGACGCACCAGAACUUCACGUAGGGUUUAGAGGGGGAAUUACAGUAAUUACAAUCCAAACCAUGUCCCUAAUCGACGAGGACGAUGGGGUGGCGCUAAUCGAGCCAUUAACCACCGCUUCGCGCCAACCAGCAGAUCAUGUGAGCAAGAUGGAUGAGAAAAGAAAAGCAACGCGCUGUGGGAGGAAAGUUACCAACAAAUACAGCUCAGAUGAAUAUGUUGUAUCUGCACGCAAGAAUGUUCAGACUGAAAAUACAUCAAACUCAUCAGAAGGACUUCAGCCUGCAGUACAGCAAACCAGUGAAACUGGAGGUGCACCCACUUUACAGAUUUCUCUUGACAAAGCAAAACAGACAAUCGAGAUACAAAAGCAGAAGAUUCUUCAUCUUCAGGAAAAAGUUGACUCUCUGACCGAUGACAAAAACUUUCUCAGAUCAAGAUUGGAGGAUGCCCUUCUGAGGCAUGAAGCAGUUAUCUCGCCUACACAGGCACUGACUGCAUCUUCAUCCACUACUGCUGCAUCACAGGAGAAUGAGUCCAGUGAUGAAUCUUCAGACUCCUCAGAAUCUUCAGAUUCAUCAGAAUCUGAACCAAGAGCAAAGAGGAAGAAAAAGGAUAAAAAGCGAAAAAACAAGAAGAAAUCCAAGAAACUGAAGUUUGAUUUUAGGAGAGUAAGAACCCCUGAAGACUCCAUCAAACGCUACCACAAAGUGUUACAACUGGUAAAUGGUGGUUUAAGUAAAGCUGAAGCCUACAACAAAAUGAAUGUUGACAGAAAUACGAUUGUGAUGCAAGCACCCAUUGCUGAGUUGGCAAUUGCAAAUCCUGAGGAGUACAAAGCUAUGAGAGCAACCUUUAAAAAGGGAGAAAGCAUCCAAAAAUUUGCUGGUAGCUGUCUUGCACGGUGCCUUGCUCAGCCUAAUGUAGACAUGAUAAAAAAAUUGAAAGAGAGCAGUGCCAUUCUUGACAUCUCAAAGAAGUGAGGUAUAUAUUGUUGCCUAAAGGGAUGGUUCACCCAAAAAUGAAAAAUGUCGUUUACUCACACUCAAGUAGUUCCAAACCUGUAGGAGUUUCUUUCCCCUUCUGUACACAAAGGAAACUAUUUGGAAGAAUGUUUGCAACCAAGCAGAUCUUGGGCAACACUUACUGCCGUAGUAGGAAAAUAAAACUAUGAUCGUAAAUGGGGGACGAGAUCUGCUUGGUUGCAAACAUUCUUCCAAAUAGUUUCCUUUGUGUACAGAAGGGGAAAGAAACUCCUACAGGUUUGGAACUACUUGAGUGCGAGUAAAUGACAAUUUUUAUUUUUGGGUGUGGCAUCCCUUUAAUAUUGUUAAAAAAAUGUAUGUUAAUGCAAAACAUCAAAAAAAAAAAAAGUUUAUAAUGUUACUGUUGGUUAGUGAACAUUUCUUCAAACACAAUUUUAAAUCCUGAUUUUAUUUUAACAUUGGUAUGUAACCUCUUCAAAUUUUAUGUUGAGUUUUUUGUAAAGUAACAUACAAGUAAUACACAACUUAUGCCUCUUGAUUUAAGGUGCACUAUUUAAAAGCUUUGUUAAAUAAAAGGUGUGUUUUACCCUUUUCAUUUCUGUGCUUUUAUUUUUUAUUUUUUUAUUUUUUUAAGUGCUGGUCAUUAUGCAUCAUUAUCAUCUUGGAUAUUUUGGUGCAACAUAAGAUUAUUUCACGUUAUUACUAACUCCUCAUUAAUUACUUAUAAAGUAUCAUUAAUUCAUGACUUGUUGAUGUAUCAUUAUGUCAUGACUUUACUUGGGGGGGCACAUUAUUACUAACUCAUGAUUAAUUACUUAUAAAGUAACAUUAAUUCAUGACUUGUUGAUGUAUCAUUAUGUCACGAUUUGUCUUUGUGGGGCACAUCUUUAAAAAGUUAUCAAUUACACAUGUUCUAUACAUAUUCAACUUAUCUAAGUCAGGUAUUUGGUCCUUUUCUGUGGUUUGUAAAUAAGUUGAAGAGAAGAGGACCUGUGGCUGCAUUUGGAUGGAGAAGGAACUGAACGGUAAGAGCAAAGUUGAUCAUUUGAAGUAGCGAUAGUGGCCCAAAAGAAGAGCCAGACAAACGUCUGAUAUAAAGACAGUAAGCCAAACCAUAACGUAACAAAAGUGAUAAUCAGCAUCUCUAUGCUAACUGAUUUCAAUUUGGAAAAUUGCGUCUGCUUAAUGUUAUUGUAGGACAGCAGUGGAAUCACUCAAAACCGAAUGAUAAAGUCGUUUUUAAUUAUGAAUGCAUCAUUGUGCGUUGGAUGAGUUAGGUUAAACGCAAAUAUUGCAAUAAAUCCACUGUCUUUCACUGAUGUUUGUGACAGAGCUGGUGGCAAAUUUAUAAAUUGUGUCAUUUUCAUACAUCUUGCUUCUAGAACGUGUGGUUUACUGUAGUUUAUCUCAAAGUGUUAAUUAAUACAUUAACUAUUAUGCAGGAACUAACAUGUAAUUAAGGUAGUGUUAUUCAUGCAGUAUUUCAUAUGACUCAUGUCAUAGUUAAGUUAGUUCUUCAUUAGCUCUUGAUUAAUACAUGUCUUAACUCAUCAUUAGUUCAUAGUCAAGUAAUUAUUAAUUCAGGUAUUAGUAUUUGAUGAUUCAUGUACUGUUAUUGUAAAGUGUUACCCCUAAAAACUCUGUGUGUAAUAACCUAGAAUGCUGUCUAAGACUUGAUGGCUGCUCUGUCAAUUCUUUGUCAUCAGUUAGGAACCUAGGUGUGCUAUCUGAUAGCAAUCUUUCCUUAGAAAGCCAAGUUUCUGGCAUUUGUAAAACUGCAUUUUUUUCAUCUCAAAAAUAUAUCUAAAUUACUGUUAUCAAUGUCAAAUGCAGAAAUGUUAAUCCAUGUGUUUAUGACCUCAAGGUUAGAUUAUUGUAAUGUUUUAUUGGGUGGUUGUUCUGCAUGCUUAAUAAACUCCAGUCAGUCCAAAAUGCAGCAGCUAGAGUUCUUACCAGAAUCAGGAAGUAUGACCAUAUUAGCCCGGUUCUGUCAGGCACUGGACUGGCUUCCUAUCAAACAUCGUAUAGAUCUUAAAAUCGUACAUAUUACUUAUAAAGCCUUGAAUGGUUUAGCACCUCACUAUUUGAACAAGUUCUUGUUACUUUAUAGUCCUUCAUGUCCACUGUGUUCUCAAAACUCAGGCAAUUUGAAUAUCAAAAUUGACUGCGGGCGGCAGAUCCUUUUCCUAUUAAGCGCCUAAACUCUGGAAUAAUUUAUCUUACAUUGUUUGGGAGGCAGACACGCUCUUGCAGUUUAAGUCUAGAUUAAAGACCCAUCUCUUUAACCUGGCUUACACAUAACAUACCAAUAUGCUUCUAAUAUCCAAAUCUGCAAUGCAUUAAUUAGGUAAACUGGGAAAACUUCCCAUAACACCCGAAGUAUUUGCUACAUCAUUAGAAGAAUGGCAUCUACGGUAAUAUUAGUCUGUUUUUCGGUUGUUCUGAGGUCACCAGAUCCAGUCUGUAUCCAGAUCAGAGGGUCACUGCAGUCGCCCGGAUCCAGUACGUAUCCAGACCAGAUGGUGGAUCAGCACCUAGAAAGGACCUCUACAUCCCUGAAAGACAACGGAGACCAGGACAACUAGAGCCCCAGAUACAGAUCCCCUGUAAAGACCUUGUCUCAGACGACCACCAGGACAAGACCACAGGAAACAGAUGAUUCUUCUGCGCAAUCUGAGUUUGCUGCAGCCUGGAUUUAAACUGUUGGUUUUGUCUGGUCAGAGGAGAACGGGCCCCCUGAACGAACCUGGUUUCUCCCAAGGUUUUUUCUCCAUUCUGUCACCGAUGGAGUUCCUUGCCGCUGUCGCCUCUGGCUUGCUUAGUUGGGGACACUUUAUUUAGACUUAAUUGCAAAUUAUUGCACAGAUACUUUUUAAACUGAACUGAAUGAUGACAUCCUUUAAGUGUCAUUUUGCAUUAUUGAUAGUUUUCCUAAUUAAUGUUUUUCAGUUGCUUUAACACAACCUUUUUUGUUUAAAGUGCUACAUCAAUAAAGGUAACUUUACUUGACUUUUAUCCUUGAUUCCCAUCCACUUUCUUUAUAAGACUGGUGAUACACUGCAACAGUUUGAGCUAAAAAUCUUAGUUUGAGUUCUACUGAAGAAACAAUGUCACCUACAUCGUGGAUGCCCUGGGGGUAUCCAGAUAACCAUCACACUUUAAUUUUUGGGUGAACUAUCCCUUUAAAUGUAUCUUGAAUGCUAUACUUCACUUUUCAUAAAAUGCACCAAAUGCAUAAAUUGCACUGUAACCUGACAUGUUUGUUAACUUUUGGACAGUAGUCCUGAGGCAAAGUAGGUGUUCUGAGUGGUUAUUUACAAGCCUAAGAGGCACUCCAGUGUCUCUAUACGACUCAAAAACUCUCCUCCAAUUUAAUGCAAUGGUAUUUCUUCUUUAUUAUUGCUCAUUAUCAUCCACUAGGUAGAAAUCAUCAACAUGUCUUUAGAAAAGUAUUAUUAAAACUAUCCUCAAUAAGCUGCACAACACAGGGUCUCAUUUAUGUCCAUGGCACAAAUAAGCUACCUGCACCAAAGUUUGAUACUUAAAUUUAAUGGCCACAACCUCAUUUAAAGUGAUGCUUGCCUAAGGCACAUAUAAAAUGCUCUAACAGAGAUCUAAAGGAAUACCAGAAGUGCCAGACAUAAGAAGCUUAAGUCUACAGUUACUGAAAAAAGAAAUUCUCAGCUGUGCUUCUCAUCAAGCUUGUAAACAAAAUCUGCUGUCAAGUAACCCAACAGACAGCAUAUGGCAAUAGUUACUUGGAAACAACAAAGAGUACAAACAAACGGGAAAGCACGAUACAGGACACUGAAUAGUGUGGCUGAGUUUAAUACAUCAACAAAACUUUCAAGUGGAGACCUGUAAAAAACUCCCUUAUUGUUAAACAGAACAGUGAUGCAACAUCAUAACCCAAGAUGUAUUAGUUUAUAUCCACAUAGCAUGACAAAACACAAGUUUGAAAGUGCUAACCAGACUGGGUAGGGCAGGCAUAUAAAUGACAUCAAAGUGAAACUCGAGCCUCAAACACUGAAUACAUAACUAUAAAGGAAACAUUCACUAUUGGGUAAUGUUACAAUACUACACGAAAAUAACUCUAACAUUUGUGCUGACAUUUAAUGUAGUGAAAAUAAGAUUGAACCCCUGAUGUCACAAGGACAAUUUUACAGACGUCCUUGCUUUGUUUUUGUGUGUUGAUCGUCCUUGUUGUUAAUGGGAGGGCCAGAGAGCUCUCAGAUUUCUUCAAAAAGAUCUUAAUUUGUGUUCUGAAGGUGAUAGAAGGUCUUAUGGGUUUGGAACGACAUGAGGGUGAGUUAUUAAUUACAGAAUCUUUGGUUGCACUUUAUUUUACAGUACGUGUACCAACAUGUACUUAUAGUGUACUUACAGUGUACUUAUCUAAGAAAGUUCUGGUAAUACAAGGUAACUACAUGGGGAAGGGUUAGGUUAGGGGUAGGUUCAGGGUUCAGGGUUAGUACCUAGUUAUUACAUAGUUAUUGUAAUUACUAUAAUAAGUACAUAGUAUGUACAUAAGGAACAGGACUGUAAAAUAAAGUGCUACCGAAUUUUUAUUUUAACAUUAAUGACUUCAUAUUAACAGUAACUUAUCCAAAAACAUAAUUUGUAACAACGCUAUAUACAAGAAUUUACAAAUAUAAUAACAUUUCUGUAACAGUAAAAC
ensembl:lncRNA